UACGUAGGUGGCAAGCGUUGUCCGGAUUUACUGGGCGUAAAGGGCGUGCAGGCGGUUUGUUAAGUGCAGGGUGAAAGCUCCCGGCUCAACUGGGAGAGGUCCUUGCAUACUGGCAGACUUGAGGGAGGCAGAGGAAAGUGGAAUUCCCGGUGUAGUGGUGAUAUGCGUAGAUAUCGGGAGGAACACCUGUGGCGAAAGCGGCGCACUGGAUCUCUUCUGACGCUGAGGCGCGAAAAGCUAGGGGGAGCAAAACGGG
rnacentral:rRNA from 1 species